AUCUCAAAACAGAGAGAGUAUUGGUUACGUCUCUCUCUAAAAAUGGAGGAACGUUGUAACACGCUUUAACUGUUUGUUUUUUAUCUUACUUGUGAAAGAAGACAUAGCUCAUCCAGCAAGCCGCCUUUGGCCGUUCCUCCGACUUCAGUAUUUUCCUUCUUCCCUUCUCUGUCCAAAAGCAAAGGAGGCAGUGCAAGUGGAAGCAACCGUUCUUCCAGUGGAGGUGUUCUUAGCGCAUCCUCAUCAAGUUCCAAGUUGUUGAAAUCACCCAAAGAGAAACUGCAGCUCAGGGGGAACACCAGGCCAAUGCAUCCCAUUCAGCAAAGUAGAGUUCCCCAUGGUAGAAUCAUGACACCCUCUGUGAAAGUGGAAAAGAUUCAUCCGAAAAUGGAUGGCACACUACUGAAAUCUGCGGUGGGGCCAACCUGUCCUGCUACUGUGAGUUCCUUAGUCAAGCCUGGCCUUAACUGCCCCUCAAUACCAAAGCCAACCUUGCCUUCACCUGGACAGAUUCUGAAUGGCAAAGGGCUUCCUGCACCGCCCACUCUGGAAAAGAAACCUGAAGACAAUUCCAAUAAUAGGAAA
rnacentral:sRNA from 1 species